rnacentral:rRNA from 1 species
UACAUGGGGUGCAAGCGUUAAUCGGAAUUACUGGGCGUAAAGCGUGCGCAGGCGGCUAUGCAAGACAGAUGUGAAAUCCCCGGGCUCAACCUGGGAACUGCAUUUGUGACUGCAUGGCUAGAGUACGGUAGAGGGGGAUGGAAUUCCGCGUGUAGCAGUGAAAUGCGUAGAUAUGCGGAGGAACACCGAUGGCGAAGGCAAUCCCCUGGACCUGUACUGACGCUCAUGCACGAAAGCGUGGGGAGCAAACAGG